ACCCCUAAAUCCCAGCAUUUACAAUAAAACCCUCACUCACUACUGAGCUGCUCCAUACUCCUAUGGAGCUAUUAAUGCUAGAACUAGUAACAAGAGUACAAACCUCUCUAACAAUGCAAACCUAAGUCAGAUCGAACACCUCACUGACAAUUAACGUCAGCCAUAGAGCCAAAAAUAGAAACCAAACAAGAAAACCCUAUUAAAAACACCGUUAACCUAACACAAGAGCAUUAAAAGAAAGAUAUAAAGACGCAUAAGGAACUCGGCAAACACGAACCCCGCCUGUUUACCAAAAACAUCGCCUCUUGCCAAACAAUCAAGUAUAAGAGGUCCAGCCUGCCCAGUGACUAAAUGUUCAACGGCCGCGGUAUUCUGACCGUGCAAAGGUAGCGUAAUCACUUGUCUUUUAAAUAAAGACUGGUAUGAAUGGCACCACGAGGGUUCCACUGUCUCAUGCGUCCUAUCAGUGAAACUAACCUCCCCGUGCAGAGGCGGGGAUAUCAACAUAAGACGAGAAGACCCUAUGGAGCUUAAAACCUUGGACAAUUGUUCAAUAUUAAACAAUCAACAGACAUACCUAAAAAACAAACAACCCUGAUCCAAUGGUUUUCGGUUGGGGCGACCACGGAGAAUAAAACAUCCUCCACGAAGAACGGAUUAACAAACCUUAAACGAGAGUCACCACUCAAAGCAAUAAAAUAUUUAACUUAAAUUGACCCAGCAUAGCUGAUCAACGAACCAAGUUACCCUAGGGAUAACAGCGCUAUCCACUUCAAAAGUUCAUAUUGACAAGUGGGUUUACGACCUCGAUGUUGGAUCAGGGCAUCCCGGUGGUGCAGCCGCUACCAAA
rnacentral:rRNA from 1 species